rnacentral:rRNA from 1 species
AGAGUUUGAUCCUGGCUCAGAACGAACGCUGGCGGCAGGCUUAACACAUGCAAGUCGAACGGGCGUAGCAAUACGUCAGUGGCGCACGGGUGAGUAACGCGUGGAUAUCUGCCUUUUGGUUCGGGAUAACCUUGGGAAACUAGGGCUAAUACCGAAUGGAUCCUACGGGAUAAAGAUUUAUCGCCAAGAGAUGAGUCCGC